AGUGGCUCCGCAGGGACCAGUGGGACUUCAAGAGCCUCUCCAUCAUUCACAUCAAGACAUGAACUUACGUAGAACAGACUGACCUCAGGCUUGGAAGUAUCUUCUUGCCUUCGUCUUCAGAGUGGUGGUGACCGUACUUCCUGAGGUCCUGAGUUCAAUUUCCAGCAACCACAUGGUCGCUUGUGGAGGGCCGUCCUCACAUUCUCCAUUGUAAGAUGGCGCCGAUAUCCGGCAGGAUGCACCUAAUAAAAGGGCAAUACGCAAGCGCCUGGUAAAUUCCUCACUCAGGGGGACACGUAUGCUGUGGUACGUCAUCUGGCACAUCUGGUAGCGACCAGCCAGAGAGUGACACGUCCGAGGCGAGGAUAGUUUCCUAUAUAAGGGAUGGUCUUUCCCUCACUCGGGGUCUCCAUAUUGUAAGCUUGUGCUCUCGCUCUCAAGAUGCAUUAAAGCUAUUUCUGCAGAAG